UAGAAUUUGGUGUAAUUGGGAGCACGGAGAGUUUUGGAUUCUUAGGGGUAGGUUCAAUUCCUAUAAUUCUAG
rnacentral:tRNA from 1 species